rnacentral:tRNA from 1 species
GGUGGCAUAGCUCAGAGGGCUAGAGCACAGGUCUUGUAAACCUGAGGUCGGAGGUUCGAAUCCUUCUGCUAUCG